AAGAGAAGAAAAUUACAAAAUGUUUAUGAACUCAAGCCUCUAUAAUGUUCUCUCUACAGCCCAUUAACCCCUUCAACAUUAUCACGAGGUCGAACUGCAGUCAAGAGGAAAAAUGAACAAUAAAAUUGGGCUCGAAACAUCCGACAUAUAUGACAUCACAAAUUUGAUUCUAAAACUGCUACAUGAGAAUUGGAAAAUAAGGUUAGAAAUGAUUUUAAGCAUCAAGGUAGAAUGAUCAAUGGUCAACUCAGUAACUAAUGUUGUGGGAGAUAUUAUUUGAUAGCAACACCUGUUGAACUACAGUCCACCUACUGUCAAAACCAUGUACGUGCCAUCGUGUUUACUA
rnacentral:lncRNA from 1 species